UACGUAGGGUGCAAGCGUUAAUCGGAAUUACUGGGCGUAAAGCGUGCGCAGGCGGCUUUGCAAGACAGAUGUGAAAUCCCCGGGCUUAACCUGGGAAUGGCCAUGGAAACUGGCGAACUGGAGUGUGGCAGAGGGGGGUGGAAUUCCGCGUGUAGCAGUGAAAUGCGUAGAGAUGCGGAGGAACACCGAUGGCGAAGGCAGCCCCCUGGGCUAGCACUGACGCUCAGGCACGAAAGCGUGGGGAGCAAACAGG
rnacentral:rRNA from 1 species